UCCAUCAACCUAGGCCAAGUUCCAACAACUGUCCUAGUUUCAGUCUAGAGCCUCUAAUUACUAUGAUUUCUCCUGUGGUGGCCUGAAGAGCAAAGGUAUUUUGCGUUCAGCGAGAUUCCAAGGGGUGCGUGAGUCUUGCAGAAGCAUUUCUAGUAUAGACUAAAAAAGCCUAUGCUUCGCAGUUGCCGUAGAAACCUGACGUCAUAGGGCGACCGUGACGAAUUUUUAAUAAGCCCUGGUUUGGAGAGCGGGUCUCGACCUCAGAAGUUUGGGACUCAGCUGAGAGUGUGGGGUCCCGCUGAGGGGGCUGAACCGCCUUGGAGUGUGAGGAGACAGAAGAAUCCAGAUCCAGCUUUUCCCGCUUUGGGGCUCGGUGCCCCGGCUGUCUUGUAUGUAAAGCCAUUGUGGUCCCUCCCAGCUCCAGUGAGUGUAAGUGUUCCUGCUGUGGUGUCCUGGAGCUGCUUUCCUCUAAAGACAAGGAUGCGGGAGGUUAAGACAGUGGAACAACAGACAGGCAUGUGAAUUCUGAGCCCUGAAAACAGGAACCGAUAGAGAAGAACAAAGUGUGAUGUAGAGUGUGCUAGACUGGUUCCUAGAGCAAGAAUGAAGAGAUCAGGGUCCCAUCAUUGGGACACUUUAGAUGCUGAAUUUCUGGGACUCAGGAUGAAAAUUGGACUAAACUUGCUUGAAAUGGAGUCCAUUUGAGGUCAAGCCUCAACACCUCAUAGGUUGUACAAGGAAAAUACUUCAAAGUUGUUUUAAUCCACGUGUGUUGAUUACCCUGGGCCCUGGUCUGAAGGAGCCUGUGACUGAAGUUCUCCCUGAAUCCAAGCGUUGAAGCAUUUUCCCCUCUGGCUGCUGUGGGCUGAGUGCUGGGCAACCUCAUGCAGCUUUUACCUUUCUCUCUCAGUUGAACAUCAAAGCAGUGUGUGGACUCUGACCCCAGAAAGAAGAGUUGAAAGAGAAAAACCAAAUAUGAUGUUCAGUGUGCUUGACAAUUUCCUGGAGCAAGAGUGAAGAGAACAGGAUCCCAUCACUGAGACAUUUUAGGUAGAAUUCUUCUGUGAAACAAAGUACCCCUCAGCGACUACAUGGUUAUACUGAAGAAUAGUCCAUAUAGAAGGGAAGGAUGAAUGCUUACUUCUUUUGCAGUAUUUCCACUUUUCAAAACAAUGUGUUGUUUUUCCAGAAUACUUCAAAGGCUUUGUCGCAAGCAAGGUACUGUUUCCCCAGAAACUGUCUUUUAAGACUAUGUGACAAGAAGGAAUUCAACCACUUACAUUAGAGGCACCCUGGGUGAGUUCUCCAUCCUGUUACUUCCUCAGUAUCUUUGGGUUUCAGAGCAUUUACUCUUAUUCUGGGUCAGGAUAAUGCUGCUGACCAAUCACAAAUGAUGCAGGAACAGAUAUCUGGAGCCACCAUGGCCAUGCCCAGGCACCAACACAGGUUUCAAGACACAGUAGGAUGUUUCAGAACUGACACAUCACUAGUGGGUACUAAAUGAUAUCAAAGAUGAGCUCAUGGAUGAAGACUGGUGAGUCCAAUAGUGAAAAUAAGAGAAAGGGGAAACCCAAAGCUAGGGAAAAUAUACAAAACUUAGCAAAAACUCCAUUGGUGGAAAAAGCCUUGCCAAUUAUACCUAAUUAUUAUGUACUUUCGGCCUGCCUUCUAAACACAAAAAACUCUUUUCUUUCCUUGGGAUCAAAGCACGCAUUUAACCUUUAAUUUUUUGUUAGUGUUUUUAAUCCUUUCUUUAGACAAAUGAUGCAUUUCAUUGCUGAAAACGUAGCACUUAUGGAUGAACAAAUUGAAGCUCCCUAUGUUGUUCAUUUUGAGCCUGCAGAAUGACAUACAGAGCAAAUGUGUCAAAACCUUUUUCAAAUAAGUUCUUUUCAGAGUAAAUACCCCGAGCCAGCACAGACUUAGUAAAGCUAUAUUGUUUAACAAUGUUCAGUGAAAAUCAGUGACCCUGAGACAUGCCACAUUUCAAGUGCUUUGGGAAUCAUCAAAGACACAUUCAACAAUGCAAGAUCUUCAUCUGGAGUUCAGAAUAUAUCAAAUCCAUUGACAAGUCAGUGGUGCUGUACUGUAUAUAUCUACUUGGUUGAAGAUAUGACUUUAUUUUUUGUAAGAGAGUUUCCAUAUCUAAGUGAGAAGGGAGAGAGAGCAAACUGGCAAACAUAUAGUUAAGGCUUUCCCAGGAAUAAUGUCUUUUGGAUCAACUGUCCCAAGGGAGUGGCAGAUGCCAUUUAUGUACCAAGAGGUGAAUGUAAUUUCCCUGUUGAAUGCUGUAAUCAAGAACAAACAACUGUUGACUCUACAAAUUUAACAAUACUGUGUUCGUUUUAAUUUUUUUUUAAUUGACUGUGUGUCUUUCUUUGUCCCCUACAGCUCUACCACCUCCAAAACACGCUUACAGUUAUAGCUUACUGUCAGUUCAGACCAGAGCUGGACCUCCAAUAUCAGGAUUAGAUAUCCCAUAAAAUGUGGGUGUUUUUUUAGUAUCAGAAAAGUGAUAGAUACAGAGGGAUUGUUUGAGUUGAGUGAAAUUCCAAAGAGCUGCCUGAUUCCAUGA